rnacentral:rRNA from 1 species
UACGUAGGGGGCGAGCGUUGUCCGGAUUCAUUGGGCGUAAAGCGCUUUAAGGCGGUUCGCUAAGUCGGGUGUGAAACCUCCAGGCUCAACCUGGAGACGCCACUCGAUACUGGCGUGACUAGAGUUCGGUAGGGGACCACGGAAUUCCUGGUGUAGCGGUGAAAUGCGCAGAUAUCAGGAGGAACACCAGUGGCGAAGGCGGUGGUCUGGGCCGAUACUGACGCUGUAGAGCGAAAGCGUGGGGAGCGAACAGGAUUAGAACCCCUGUAGUCC